ACAUGUCUUAUGAAAUUUUGUUCUAUGUGACUUAGACUUGCCAUGUUGUCGGCUGACUAAAUGUUUAUGUGUUUGACAGACUAAAAUGUUCCCCUUAUGUAGUUAUUACCAUUAUGAGAUCCUAAUGGUUGUCUUGUCAGAUUUUGUUCCUGACUGUCAUGGUUCUGGUCCGCACCCCACUUUAGACGGGAAAUCCUGUGCGAGGCAUAUUAGUCAUAUUGUCGGACUUAGGUAACCAACAGUAAGUCUUGGAUCAUCUUGGCAUUAUAGGGCCAUUCAUUUGACUUUGGACGUAUAAUUAGCGUCAGACAUUGGAGGACUAUUAUGUUCUUAGUUCUAAUUGUACUAGACGGUCCAAAUAUUUAUCUUGUAUUAAGUGGGCCCAAUUCCAUAUAUGGAUGACUUGUAUCCGUAUUCUGGGGUCCACAUUUGAACGAUUGUACUUGUAUUAGACUUGUAAUUGGUAUUAAAUGGAUGUAAUUUCUAUUA